rnacentral:tRNA from 1 species
GCUCAUAUAGCUCAGGCGGUAGAGCACUUCCUUGGUAAGGAAGAGGUCCCGUGUUCGAAUCACGGUAUGAGCACCA